rnacentral:rRNA from 1 species
AUUGAACGCUGGCGGCAGGCCUAACACAUGCAAGUCGAACGGUAACAGGAAGCAGCUUGCUGCUUCGCUGACGAGUGGCGGACGGGUGAGUAAUGUCUGGGAAGCUGCCUGAUGGAGGGGGAUAACUACUGGAAACGGUAGCUAAUACCGCAUAAUGUCGCAAGACCAAAGAGGGGGACCUUCGGGCCUCUUGCCAUCGGAUGUGCCCAGAUGGGAUUAGCUUGUUGGUGGGGUAACGGCUCACCAAGGCGACGAUCCCUAGCUGUUCUGAGAGGAUGACCAGCCACACUGGAACUGAGACGCGGUCCAGACUCCUACGGGAGGCAGCAGUGGGGAAUAUUGCACAAUGAGCGCAAGCCUGAUGCAGCCAUGCCGAGUGUAUGAAGAAGGCCUUCGGGUUGUAAAGUACUUUCAGCGGGGAGGAAGGGAGUAAAGUUAAUACCUAUGCUCAUUGACGUUACCCGCAGAAGAAGCACCGGCUAACUCCGUG